AUGGAGGCUGGCUUUGAUAGCUUCCAGCUCCGGGUCCUCAACGGCGCGGUCCCCCGGGUCACCCUCGACCAGUCCCGGCUCCUCCUCCUCCUUAAGGAGGAAGAUCGGAAGCACACCUGGAUGGAGGAUGCUGACAGUUGUGUGGCCCACAAUGCCCUGGACUGUGCACGCGCCAUCUACGCCUACACCCUGCAAGUGUUCCCCAGCAAGAAGAGUGUGUGGCUGUGUGCUGCGUGCUUCGAGAAGAACCAUGGCACUCGGGAGUCCCUGGAAGCACUCCUGCAGAGGGCUGUGGCCCACUGCCCCAAAGCGGAGGUGUUGUGGCUCAUGGGUGUCAAGUCCAAGUGGCUGGCAGGGGCUGUGCCCGCAGCAAGGGCCAUUCUGACUCUGGCCUUCCAGGCCAACCCCAACAGCGAGGAGAUCUGGCUGGUGGCUGUGAAGCUGGAGUCUGAGAAUGAUGAGUAUGAGCGGCCCGGAGGCUGCUGGCCAAGGCGCGGAGCAGCGCCCCCACCGCCCGGGUGUUCAUGAAGUCUGUGAAGCUGGAAUGGGUGCAGGACAACAUCAAGGCAGCGCAGGACCUGUGCGAGGAGGCCCUGCGGCACUAUCAGGACUUCCCCAAGAUGUGGAUGAUGAAGGGGCAGAUCGAGGAGCAGAAGGAGCUGAUGGAGAAGGCACGGGAAGCUUACAACCAGGGGUUGAAGAAGUGUCCCCACUCCACAGCCCUGUGGCUGCUGCUCUCUCGGCUGGAGAAGAUUGGGCAGCUUACUCGAGCACGGGCCAUUCUGGAAAAGUCUCGUCUGAAGAACCCAAAGAACCCUGGACUGUGGUUGGAGUCUGUGCGGCUGGAGUACCGUGCGGGGCUGAAGAACAUCGCAAACACGCUCAUGGCCAAGGCGCUGCAGGAGUGCCCUAACUCCGGUAUCCUGUGGUCUGAGGCUAUCUUCGUGGAGGCGAGGCCCCAGAGGAAAACCAAGAGCGUGGAUGCCCUGAAGAAGUGUGAGCAUGACCUUCACGUGCUCCUGGCCGUGACCAAGCUGUUUUGGAGUGAGCGGAAGAUCACCAAGGCCAGGGAGUGGUUCCACCGCACAGUGAAGAUCGACUCGGACCUGGGGGACGCCUGGGCCUUCUUCUACAAGUUUGAGCUGCAGCAUGGCACUGAGGAGCAGCAGGAGGAGGUGAGGAAGCGCUGUGAGAGCGGAGAGCCUCGGCAUGGGGAGCUAUGGUGCGCCGUGUCCAAGGACAUCGCCAAUUGGCAGAAGAAGAUUGGGGAGGUCCUUAGGCUGGUGGCCGGCCGCAUCAAGAACACCUUCUGAUUGUCCAGUCUCCAUGGACAGAGCUUGGGUUGCACAGGGGAGGCGUGUGGAGGGCUCUGGGCUGUGUCCUCCUUCAUUAUCAUCCUCCAUUAAAAGUUUUUAUGUCUUGUGUCAAAAAAA